ACCCUUCUGUAGUUCCUAAGUGUGAUGAUUGGAUGUUCACGCUCUUGUGUGACAUGAGCCUCCCACAAACCUUGUAACAUCGGCACACUACCCAUCUGACA